rnacentral:rRNA from 1 species
GGGUGGUGAAUUCCAUCUAAGGCUAAAUAUUGGCGAGAGACCGAUAGCGAACAAGUACCGUGAGGGAAAGAUGAAAAGCACUUUGGAAAGAGAGUUAAAAGUACGUGAAAUUGUCGAAAGGGAAGCACUUGAAGUCAGCCAUGCUGCUUGAGACUCAGCCUGGCUUUUGC